UCGGGAUCGCAGCCUCCCGGCCUCCCAAGACGGUGUCCCGUCCAAGCGCUGC
rnacentral:ncRNA from 1 species